AUAUUUGCACCUGCAUUCAUCAACACAUUCAAAUAAAAUGUGGUUGAAAUGUUUCUCUUGUUUUUAUUUUUUCAGUUACAACUUUUUUAGUUUGCUAAGAAGAAGAAUGUUAUGAAAUUGUUGAGUUUGCAGUUUGUUGGCAGCAACCGGUUAGAGCAGAGAGAUGAUAUAUUGUUGAGCCCUAGAUCUGCAUCAUAUAUAUAAUCAUGAUCAGCAAUCAGCAUAACCUUCUUCCACCAGAGCCAGCUUCCCUUUGAAUGUUAUAAUAAACAGAAGAAACUGGUAAUCCCAAAUUGUAAAGUUCUGCAAAUUCUCUUGUGUUGAAAUUUUGGCGCCAUCCCGGAGCAUACACAGUCUCUCUACCAAGUUGUUGAAAAACCACGAAGAUUAUUCGAUGAAUUCCCAUAAAUGGCCGCGGAUUUUCGUAAGUUACAACCUCAUUACC